AAAAAGGGCCUUUACCAUGUGUGGUACUCAGAAUCUAACGAUUCUGGGCGGAAUCACUAUCAGGAGAUUUCGGAGGCAUAAUUUCUUUACUUGGUGGCAGUUGGUACUCAAUAGGUCCGGCGCCCCA
rnacentral:snRNA from 1 species